rnacentral:rRNA from 1 species
UACGGAGGGUGCAAGCGUUAUCCGGAUUCACUGGGUUUAAAGGGUGCGUAGGCGGGCUUGUAAGUCAGUGGUGAAAGCCCGGGGCUUAACUCCGGAACUGCCGUUGAUACUGCAAGGCUUGAGUGCGGCAGAGGAGACUGGAAUUCCUGGUGUAGCAGUGAAAUGCGUAGAUAUCAGGAGGAAUACCGAUGGCGAAGGCGGGUCUCUGGGCCGUAACUGACGCUGAGGAGCGAAAGCGUGGGGAGCGAACAGG